rfam:Sugiyamaella lignohabitans strain CBS 10342 chromosome B, complete sequence.
GCCCGGAUAGCGCAAUUGGUUAACGCGUUAGACUUCUAAGUUGUUCGCAUGAACAUAGCUGGAAUCUGAAGAUUGUGGGUUCGACUCCCACUUCGGGUG